UACGAAGGGGGCUAGCGUUGCUCGGAAUCACUGGGCGUAAGGGUGCGUAGGCGGGUUUUUAAGUCAGAGGUGAAAUCCUGGAGCUCAACUCCAGAACUGCCUUUGAUACUGAAAGUCUUGAGUAUGGGAGAGGUGAGUGGAACUGCGAGUGUAGAGGUGAAAUUCGUAGAUAUUCGCAAGAACACCAGUGGCGAAGGCGGCUCACUGGCCCAUAACUGACGCUGAGGCACGAAAGCGUGGGGAGCAAACAGG
rnacentral:rRNA from 1 species